rnacentral:lncRNA from 1 species
CUGAUCUGCGGGAGGAGGAAGAGAGUCGAGAUGGAUCGAGCCCUAGGAAUUUUAGGUCGAUAGAUCCAUCGGGAUGCUGAAUGAUUCUUUCAAUUUGAGAUCGUUCGGAGUAGGUCCGCGUGGGACGGGUAAUGGCCUCAAAGUGCCAGUCAUUUUGCUGGAGGAUAUCCUCCCAGACUAGAGCCUUUGGAACAAAGAC